UACGUAGGGUGCAAGCGUUGUCCGGAAUUAUUGGGCGUAAAGAGCUCGUAGGCGGUCUGUCGCGUCUGCUGUGAAAACUCAGGGCUUAACCCUGAGCUUGCAGUGGGUACGGGCAGACUAGAGUGCGGUAGGGGAGACUGGAAUUCCUGGUGUAGCGGUGAAAUGCGCAGAUAUCAGGAGGAACACCGGUGGGCGAAGGCGGGGUCUCUGGGCCGU
rnacentral:rRNA from 1 species